rnacentral:rRNA from 1 species
AGGGAAACCGAGUCUUAACCGGGCGUUAAGUUGCAGGGUAUAGACCCGAAACCCGGUGAUCUAGCCAUGGGCAGGUUGAAGGUUGGGUAACACUAACUGGAGGACCGAACCGACUAAUGUUGAAAAAUUAGCGGAUGACCUGUGGCUGGGGGUGAAAGGCCAAUCAAACCGGGAGAUAGCUGGUUCUCCCCGAAAGCUAUUUAGGUAGCGCCUCGUGAAUUCAUCUCCGGGGGUAGAGCACUGUUUCGGCUAGGGGGCCAUCCCGGCUUACCAACCCGAUGCAAACUGCGAAUACCGGAGAAUGUUAUCACGGGAGACACACGGCGGGUGCUAACGUCCGUCGUGAAGAGGGAAACAACCCAGACCGCCAGCUAAGGUCCCAAAGUCAUGGUUAAGUGGGAAACGAUGUGGGAAGGCCCAGACAGCCAGGAUGUUGGCUUAGAAGCAGCCAUCAUUUAAAGAAAGCGUAAUAGCUCACUGGUCGAGUCGGCCUGCGCGGAAGAUGUAACGGGGCUAAACCAUGCACCGAAGCUGCGGCAGCGAACGUAUCACCCAAGACAACUUUACGGAGUUGACGAUUGACGGAGCGAAGCGACGUCAAAGCGUUCAUUAAAGUCGAGUUGGCUUAGGGAUACGUUCGUUGGGUAGGGGAGCGUUCUGUAAGCCUGUGAAGGUGUGUCGUGAGGCAUGCUGGAGGUAUCAGAAGUGCGAAUGCUGACAUAAGUAACGAUAAAGCGGGUGAAAAGCCCGCUCGCCGGAAGACCAAGGGUUCCUGUCCAACGUUAAUCGGGGCAGGGUGAGUCGACCCCUAAGGCGAGGCCGAAAGGCGUAGUCGAUGGGAAACGGGUUAAUAUUCCCGUACUUGGUGUUACUGCGAAGGGGGGACGGAGAAGGCUAUGUUGGCCGGGCGACGGUUGUCCCGGUUUAAGCGUGUAGGUGUGUGUUCCAGGUAAAUCCGGUUCACUUUAACACUGAGGCGUGACGACGAGGCACUACGGUGCUGAAGCAACAAAUGCCCUGCUUCCAGGAAAAGCCUCUAAGCAUCAGGUAACACGAAAUCGUACCCCAAACCGACACAGGUGGUCAGGUAGAGAAUACCAAGGCGCUUGAGAGAACUCGGGUGAAGGAACUAGGCAAAAUGGUGCCGUAACUUCGGGAGAAGGCACGCUGACACGUAGGUGAAGUGAUUUACUCAUGGAGCUGAAGUCAGUCGAAGAUACCAGCUGGCUGCAACUGUUUAUUAAAAACACAGCACUGUGCAAACACGAAAGUGGACGUAUACGGUGUGACGCCUGCCCGGUGCCGGAAGGUUAAUUGAUGGGGUCAGCGCAAGCGAAGCUCCUGAUCGAAGCCCCGGUAAACGGCGGCCGUAACUAUAACGGUCCUAAGGUAGCGAAAUUCCUUGUCGGGUAAGUUCCGACCUGCACGAAUGGCGUAAUGAUGGCCAGGCUGUCUCCACCCGAGACUCAGUGAAAUUGAACUCGCUGUGAAGAUGCAGUGUACCCGCGGCAAGACGGAAAGACCCCGUGAACCUUUACUAUAGCUUGACACUGAACAUUGAGCCUUGAUGUGUAGGAUAGGUGGGAGGCUUUGAAGUGUGGACGCCAGUCUGCAUGGAGCCGACCUUGAAAUACCACCCUUUAAUGUUUGAUGUUCUAACGUGGACCCGUAAUCCGGGUUGCGGACAGUGUCUGGUGGGUAGUUUGACUGGGGCGGUCUCCUCCUAAAGAGUAACGGAGGAGCACGAAGGUUGGCUAAUCCUGGUCGGACAUCAGGAGGUUAGUGCAAUGGCAUAAGCCAGCUUGACUGCGAGCGUGACGGCGCGAGCAGGUGCGAAAGCAGGUCAUAGUGAUCCGGUGGUUCUGAAUGGAAGGGCCAUCGCUCAACGGAUAAAAGGUACUCCGGGGAUAACAGGCUGAUACCGCCCAAGAGUUCAUAUCGACGGCGGUGUUUGGCACCUCGAUGUCGGCUCAUCACAUCCUGGGGCUGAAGUAGGUCCCAAGGGUAUGGCUGUUCGCCAUUUAAAGUGGUACGCGAGCUGGGUUUAGAACGUCGUGAGACAGUUCGGUCCCUAUCUGCCGUGGGCGCUGGAGAACUGAGGGGGGCUGCUCCUAGUACGAGAGGACCGGAGUGGACGCAUCACUGGUGUUCGGGUUGUCAUGCCAAUGGCACUGCCCGGUAGCUAAAUGCGGAAGAGAUAAGUGCUGAAAGCAUCUAAGCACGAAACUUGCCCCGAGAUGAGUUCUCCCUGAGACUUAGAGUCUCCUGAAGGAACGUUGAAGACGACGACGUUGAUAGGCCGGGUGUGUAAGCGCAGCGAUGCGUUGAGCUAACCGGUACUAAUGAACCGUGAGGCUUAACCUUACA